rnacentral:rRNA from 1 species
CCUACGGGAGGCAGCAGUGAGGAAUAUUGGUCAAUGGCCGAGAGGCUGAACCAGCCAAGUCGCGUGAGGGAAGAAUGUCCUAUGGAUUGUAAACCUCUUUUGUCAGGGAGCAAAGUCACCCACGUGUGGGUGUUGGAGAGUACCUGAAGAAAAAGCAUCGGCUAACUCCGUGCAAGCAGCCGCGGUAAUACGGAGGAUGCGAGCGUUAUCCGGAUUUAUUGGGUUUAAAGGGUGCGUAGGCGGGUUAUCAAGUCAGCGGUAAAAGCGUGGAGCUCAACUCCAUCCAGCCGUUGAAACUGAUGAUCUUGAGUGGGCGAGAAGUAUGCGGAAUGCGUGGUGUAGCGGUGAAAUGCAUAGAUAUCACGCAGAACUCCGAUUGCGAAGGCAGCAUACCGGCGCCCGACUGACGCUGAAGCACGAAAGCGUGGGUAUCGAACAGGAUUAGAUACCCGAGUAGUC